rnacentral:lncRNA from 1 species
AUUAAAGAUGGUAGUACCUAAAAAAACUCAACUAAUAAAGUUACAAAAACUAAAAUAACAUAGUUUAGAUAGUUUAAGAAAUAAUUGGUUGUCGUUUUUUUUUUAGGGAGGACACUGCAGCGUAUACAUAUAUAUGAUUGAAAACACUAUCACUCUUCAUGUCUGUAUCAGAAUAAAAACAAAAAUACUUAAUACAUGAUGAAUUGUUUUGUUUAAGGUGAAGACACCUCUGUGGAACAGACUGAAGGAGAGGCACUUGGAUGUCUGUUGUAAGGUGGCCGUUGAUGGACCAGACCAGGAGGCCUUGGACUACAAGGAGUGCAUGAGGAGGUUCUACAGAAUGAAAAAGAGGAGGCUGAAAUGUUCUGUCUGGUUGCGAGAUGUGUGGAUGAAGUGUACUUUCAAUUUAAAGUUGCCAGCUGAUUUGUGUAUGUAUAUAGUUUUAAUAAAUGAAUGCUUUAACAUAAUAAUGGUCACACUCUUUUUUGAACUCUUAACUUAAAGUAUGUUGCCUGUAAAAGUAAGUGAAUCGGUUGAAUUUACAAAUACAUGCACGUCGUGGCGCAUGGUCAGGAUGGUGCCACCUCUGCCUCAAUUUGAGCCAGGAAAAACCCUGUUA